rnacentral:lncRNA from 10 species
UGGCCAAUUGAAAUUAUCAAAAGCAAAGGAGGAAUGCGCCAGUUCUUAUUAAGAAAAUUAAAAACAAAGCAUCUUUCUCAUUCUGCCUUUACAUCUAUUUAUAUUAUGUUAUACACUAUCUCCACUGCAAACAUAAAUUUUCAAAUAAUAAUAAUAUAAAGGUUGGAUGACUGUCUAUUUUACUAUCAAUUGAUCCUGAAAAACAACUUUAAUCGGGGUUAUACUGUGUUAAGGGUCCUCAGAGCUGCAUGAGUCUUACCUGUAAAGAGGACCCAGAGGCUCACAACAUGAAAUGACUCUGGGAUGUGUAAAAAGCAUUGAUCUACAAGAGACAUUGAAAUCAUUUAGUAUAAAACCUUCACUUUAUGGAUAAAGAACAGUAGGAUGGAGGUUGCAGUGAGCCAAGAUCACUACCCAAGACGUUACAUCUUGGAGUUCCGUGGCUUGUUACGCAUUGCUGAACAUUCAAUGCCCAGGAUACAAUACUCUGACCAUGAAAAACAAUCAAGUGAAGCCUAGGACAACUUGAGCAACCAAAAGAAACUGGUUUGCACUUAUUCUGCUCUCUCCAGAAGUUCCUGGUGGAAUGAAUCAUCUACUCUGCAGUGGUAAUGAACAGAGAGGUUCAUUUUCAGAUUGGCUUAUUUUAUAUG